GGCGGGCUAGUCUAAGCAAGACCCCUGAUUUCGGCUCAGAAAAUCGCGGUUCUAGUCCGCGGCCCUCUU
rnacentral:tRNA from 1 species